AUUGAACGCUGGCGGCAGGCCUAACACAUGCAAGUCGAGCGAGCGGCGGACGGGUGAGUAAUGUAUGGGGACUGCCCGAUAGAGGGGGAUAACUACUGGAAACGGUGGCUAAUACCGCAUACUAUCGGAUAACCCAUAUGGGAUUGGCUAGUAGGUGGGGUAAAGGCUCACCUAGGCGACGAUCCCUAGCUGGUCUGAGAGGAUGAUUAGCCACAAGGGGAAUGAGAGACGGCCCAGACUCCUACGGAGGGAGCAGUGGGGAAUAUUGCACAAUGGACGCAAGGCGGAUGCAGCCAUGCCGCGUGUAUGAAGAAGGCCUUAGGGUGGUAAAGUAGUAUCAGCGGGGAGGCGUUACCCGCAGAAGAAGCACCGGCUAACUCCGUGCCAGAAGCCGCGGUAAUAC
rnacentral:rRNA from 1 species